rnacentral:lncRNA from 1 species
UCGGACGUCAUCUCCCAAUUUUGAAUUCCCUGUAUUCGAAGUAGAAGAAGAUGAUGUUGAAGGGAUUCCUGACGAGAUUUCCCGACUUCUUGAGCAAGAAAAGAAGAUCACUCAGCUGCAUCUCGAGAAUCAGCAGAACAGCCAACUGGGGCAUCAAAAAAAAUCAAUCAAAAAAAAAAAAACAAAGAAAGAAAGGGUGCAAAAGAAAUCAAAAGAAAUCAAAAGCAAAAUCAAAAGAAAAAACAAAGGAAAAAUAGCACCCUCAAAGUCCCAAGUUGACUGACGCUGAAUUCGAUCGAAAAGAAGAGAUUAACUGCCAGGUGUCAUGAUCAGUUAUAUCAGC